GUGGGGAAUAUUGGGCAAUGGAGGAAACUCUUACCCAGCAAUGCCGCGUGAGUGAAGAAGGUCUUCGGAUUGUAAAGCUCUUUGAUUGGGGAUGAAAAAAUGACGGUACCCAAAGAACAAGCCCCGGCUAACUACGUGCCAGCAGCCGCGGUAAUACGUAGGGGGCGAGCGUUGUCCGGAAUGACUGGGCGUAAAGGGUGUGUAGGCGGUUUAUUAAGUUAGAAGUGAAAUACCUAGGGCUUAACCCAGGUGCUGCUUCUAAAACUGAUAGACUUGAGUGCAGUAGAGGAAAGUGGAAUUCCUAGUGUAGCGGUGGAAUGCGUAGAUAUUAGGAGGAACAUCAGUGGCGAAGGCGACUUUCUGGACUGUAACUGACGCUGAGGCACGAAAGUGUGGGGAGCAAACAGG
rnacentral:rRNA from 1 species